GGGGGGCCUUCAUACUGUUGUUGGAUGCGCUAUCUAUAUCUGGGCAUUAGCAGAAUCUAGGACCUUUUCUUCCUUAAAAGAAAUCUUGCUUGGAGGAUGCUACUUAAUGGCAUUGGUUAAUAAUUUCUCUUAAAGGUGAAAAAUUCUGUCAAAUGGUCGUGGUGUUAGUAAUUAAUGCCAGAAAUGGACUUUAGGUUUGUGGAGUUUUUUUCUGCUAUUCAAGAUGUUUUUGGAGGACUCAUUUGUGCAUGGAGAUUGCGAAACAGUUUUGAUCCUCACUCUAAGGGCCCGAUUGAUAACAGUUCGUUCCAUCUAUUUCUACGUUUUUCUGUUUUAAGAAACGGAGAAACAUGAACAAAAUCGUUUGAUAACGGUGUUCCAUUUACUGACUUUUAUGAAUAGAAAUAUAACUUUAUAUUUAUUUAUGGUUCAAGAAACGGAUUUGACGAAACUGCUACUUGUUUCGCCGUUUAUAGAAACAACAAUCGUGCAAAAAACUAAAUCCACCCCCGAUGAAAGUCUCAUUGUUUCGAAAGACAGAACCCACAUUCCUCCUAGCUGCGAUUGCAUCAACAGAGCACCGAUUCCCUCUGAAGUUGCAGAGAUUCUUCUGGCGAGUGCGCUCCCGUGAAGGCAGAGGACUUGUCUCCCUCUCUAACACAGUUCGAUCCUUACCCAUUUACAGGUUUAUCUCUCACUUGGGUGCGCUCUAACGGCUUCGGCUGUAGGAGUCUACCUGCAUCUUUUGUGGAACAUCGGUGGCAUACUCACUACUUCGGCAUGCAUGGGAAGCAUUGUAUGGCUACUUUCCACUCCUACAUAUGAAGAGAGGAAGAGGGUAGGUCUCUUAAUGGCAGCGGCCCUUUUUGAAGGAGCUUCAAUCGGUCUUCUAAUGAGCUAUUGUAUCAUGUCCAGAGGGAUCAAAACAUGAAUGUCACUAUCUGAGAUAGGGAAAGUCCUGACCAUUGUCGUGUUUGGGAACGUUUUUAGAAACAGCUUUUAUCAAAUAUAAAAAAGAAAAUUGUUUUUAUUUUUGAAAA